AUACGACUUCCUUCGUUUUAAAUUACUUAUCGCAGUUAUGCAUGUAUCUAGAUGUAUUUUAGUUCUAGAUACAUUCAUUUUUGCGACAAGUAAUUUGGAACGGAGGGAGUAGAAC
rnacentral:pre_miRNA from 1 species